UUAUUUCUAGAAACACUUUCCAGUACCUCUACUUUGUUACGACUUAUUCCAAUUUAUUUAUGAAAGCGACGGGCAAUAUGUACAUAUUUUAAUAUAUAAUCAUUUUAUUAAAAUAAAUAAAAUUACAUUUAAAUCCACUUUCAAAUUUUUAUUACAAAAAAAAAUCCAUUUAAAUAAAUUUAUUGUAAUCCAUUAUAUUCUUAAUUAUAAUCUGCAUCUUGAUCUGAUUUAAUUUUUAAUUAUAAAAUUAAAAUAUUAUUUUCAUUUAAAAAUAUUUUUUUAACAACGAUAUACAAAAUUUUAAAUUAAGUAAAUUCAUUCGUGGAUUAUCAAUUAAUAAACAGAUUCCUCUAAAUGAACUAAAAUACCGCCAAAUUAUUUAAGUUUCAAUAAAUAAUUAUAUACUAUUUUAGUAUUUUAAAUUUAAAUUUUUA
rnacentral:rRNA from 1 species